AAGUCAAAAUUUUUCCAAACGCAGACACAUUCCGAAAUAAACAUAUUUAUUUUGAACAUUUAAAUUUGAAAUAAAUCCCCUUCACAUGAAUACAAUCAACCGAACCACAAUCGGCAUAGCAGCGGGAGUGGCGGGUACACUCUUCAUUGCCUACUGCAUCUACUUCGACGGCAGACGGCGUGCAGAUCCCGACUACAAGAAAAAAGUACACGAACGUCGACGUCGCUUGCGCAAGAACCGCCACACGGCAGGCCAUGGCAUACCAAAUUUGAGCUCCCAACAGGCAAUCGAGCGAUAUUUCCUGCAAGAGUUGAAAAUGGGCGAAGAACUCAUCGAGCGUCAGGAAUAUGAAAAUGCUGUGGCACAUUUUGCCAACGCUGUGCUAGUGUGUGGUGAUCCGGGACGGUUAUUGGAAAUGUUGCAGCAUACAAUGCCAGCUCAAGUAUUUGCCAUUUUGAUUAUUAAAAUGCAAGAAAUCGGUAAUCGUGCUCGUGCCGAAAUGAAUGAAGCAGCGAAGGCUGCCGGCGUUAAGCGCAUGGAAAAUGCCGAUGAGGAUGAAGAUGCCACGGAUGCAGCGCUGAUUGAUGAUUUGGAAUAAAAUGUCGAGUGGACUGUAUGUGGAUAGAUAUUUAGUGAUGUGUAUGUUUGUAUAUUUGUUUUAAUUUUAUUCCCCAUUCAACGGCACGGAUAAGUGCAGUUUGUUGAAACAUAAAUCCCUUAAUGUCUGAUAAAAUCUUGAAGUAAAUUCCUUAAAAUCAAAUAUUAUAUAUAAA